AGGUAACAAGGUAACGUAACAAGGUAAGGUAGCAAGGUAACGCAAGAAGGUAACAAGGUUACGUUUCAAGGUAACAUAAGGUAACGUAACAACGUAACGUAAAAACGUAACAAGGUAACGCAACAAGGUAACAUAAUGUAACGUAACAAGGUAACGUAACAACGUAACAAGGUAACAUAACAAGGUAACAAGGUAACAUAACAAGGUUACAUAACAAGGUAACGUAACAAGGUAACGUAACAAGGUAACAAGGUAACAUAACAACUUUAUAGAGAUCUAUGACAACGGUGACGUGGUCACAGACUUCUUCAACCUCUCUCCUCCUCCUCCUCCUCCUUUUCUUCAACCUCUCUCCUCCUCCUCCUCUUCUUCAACCUCUCUCCUCCUCCUCUACUUCCUUCUGUCCUCCUUUUCACUCCUCCUCUCUCCUCCUUCCACUUCCCUUCUCACCUCAACUUUACUUUACUUCACACCUUCCUCCCUCUUAUCCUUUUAUUCAACCUUGUCUCCUCUCCUCCUCCUCCUCCUCCUCCUCCUCCUCCUGUUGCCGGGGUAACGGAGCAGAUUGCUGGAUGCUUGUUGACCCGUCUCAGUGAGGAUCCUGGUUCAGGAUUGAGACUGUAAAUCUGCAUUAGAGGCUUUAUUUGGGCGCGAGGCGUCUCGCUCUGCACGAAGGGUCUUUAUCUCGCCGUGGCGAGGACGGGAGGACGGGACGACACCCCCCCCCCACACUUAAACCUACACAGAGUCACCAGCAGCUCCUCGUAUACGUUACACAGCUGAUCUCGGUUCAGUGUGAUGCUUUAAUUAAAAGUUAGUGAGGACCUUAAUUGGAUGUUAAUUGGAUAAUUGGAUGAUGCCGUUAAGGAUGUUCCAACUUUUGAGAAGAAAGUUUAUUCUCACUUUAAUCUCAUAAUUCAGAUUUGUUUCUUAGAGAAAUGACAUUAAUCUUAUUAGUUAUAGCCCAAAAUUAAGGUUUUAAUCCAACAUUAUGUGUGUAAUCUUGAUUUAUAGUAAAUUAUUUUACUUUACACCAAAAUUGGGACUUUAAUAUCAUGAUUUAAACCCUAAAUUAUAAUUUUAAUCUAAACAUACAACUUUAAUUGUAUGAUUUGAAUGCCAGAUUAUGACUUAAAUCCAAAAUAAUUCCUGUGAUCUCAGUGUUUGAACUCAAAACACGACUUCAACUUAAUAUUAUGAUGUCUAAACCCCUAAAUUGUGACUUAAAUCCAAGACUUUAUUUAAAUCUUAUAAAUGAAACCUAAUACUAUAACUUUAUUCCAAAAGCAUGAUCCUAAUUGUAUGGUUUAAACCCCCAAAUGUCCUCCCAUAUCAGAGGUCUUUAAGAGGCUGGACGGGGAUUUACUGCUGUCUGCAUGCACUGUUUGUUUGUUUGUUUGCUCGUGCCGCUUGUUGUCAUAUGUGAGAGCGUAAGAGUCGCCGUAUAUACGGAUAAUCCUUCCUGCGGUUAAUGCGCUGGCCCAGAUUGCAGCACAGUCCGCCGCCUAAUAGAUCAGAUCAGUUUCCCGGAUGGUUGAAACCAGAUGAGCUCAGAGGACAUACUGAAGGUUCAUUACUCUGUGUUCAUAAUGAAACUUACUGAUACUUAUAAUACUUUACUGUUAUCACAUACUGUACUGAAGGGCUGAAUGCUCGGUCUGUGGUGCAGCUUUCUGGAGAAUCGAUCAUACAAACAACUUUAUACACUCAACACUGCACUUCCUUAGGUCCUGAGCAAUAUACCUGCCGUGAUAUAGUUGCGUCACACACCCGAGUCGCAGCUACUUGCGGUCGGAAACACCGUUAAAAUACACUCUGGUUCACGGGAAAAACAAACUCAGGUUGCAGCUGAUUGCGGUCAGAAACUUCGGUGAAAUACACCUAGAAACAUUGUUGGAAUACGCUUAGAAACAUCGGUGAAAUACACCUAGAAACAUCGGUGAAAUACACUUAGAAACAUCGGUGGAAUACGCUUAGAAACACCGGUGAAAUACACUUAGAAAGAUCUGUGAAAUACACCUAGAAACGCUGGUGAAAUACGCUUAAAAUGCCGGUAAAAUACAGUUAGAAACGCCGGUGAAAUACACGUAGACACGUCUGUGAAACACACUUAGAAACACACUUAGAAACAUCGGUGAAAUAAACGUAGAAACAGCGGUGAAAUACACUUAGAAACGCCGGUGAAAUACACUUGGAAACAUUGGUGAAAUAUACCCAGAAACAUCGGUGAAAUACACGUAGAAAUACCGGUGAAAUACACUUAGAAAGGCAGAUGAAAUACACUUAGAAAUGCCGGUGAAAUACACUUGGAAACAUUGGUGAAAUAUACCUAGAAACUUCGGUGAAAUACACAUAGAAAUACCGGUGAAAUACACUUAGAAACGCAGAUGAAAUACACUUAGAAACGCCGGUGAAAUACACUUGGAAACAAUGGUGAAAUACACUUAGAAAGGCAGAUGAAAUACACUUAGCAACGCCGGUGAAAUACACUUGGAAACAUUGGUGAAAUAUACCUAGAAACAUCGGUGAAAUACACGUAGAAAUACCGGUGAAAUACACUUAGAUACUUCUAACACCACCACUGGGCCAUUUCUACCACUCCAAUGACUAUUAGUACUACCACUAACCAUAUUAAUUAAUUACAUACGUAUCUAUCUAUUGUGUAUUUUGGGGACAUCAGUUGACCAAACUGUAGUAUUGACUUUGAAGAUACUAAUCAACAGUACCAUCGAGGUGGGACGGCGUUACUGCAGUCAUAUGGCUGCGGGACACCACCCACCCGGGGGGUUUAAUUAAAGUGAGGCGGUCCUGCUGAUCAAAUCAGACGCUUCUUACCAGAUUAAUAGCUACAACAUUAAGCCAUUAAAAUCUUAUCACAGAGUAAUCAUCUAUCAAGGAGUCUAUCGAGGAAUUCAGUCAUUCAUCAGGACCAGAUAAGUCCUGAUUAGCAUUAGCAGUCCGUCCUGAUGACAGUCUGCUCAGACCAAACCACAUGGGAAAAACAACCUAUUAAAUAUUAAAUGGACUCUGAUUAUAACCCUUGAUAUAUUUAACAUGUUGUUUAUGAAUGUUGUCAUUGUUAUUAGAGAUACUAUGGUUAUGUUUAGUGCAUUAAUUGACUGGACUACUGCAGGAAAUGAACCUGGUUCCAAUGCAACAAAUGAAUAUUUGAUGGCUGCAGGAAUUUAACCUUUGGCGGUUGCAGGAGUUGAAUCUUUAAUUGUAGCACUGAUUGAGCCCUGGACCACUGCAACAAAUGAAUAUUUGACAGUUGCAGAAAUGUUAAGGGAUUGAAACUGUUAUAAAAACACACCCUCAGUACGGCUGAAUGGAAACAAUCACAUGGGGUCUGUGGUCAUAAUGAAACUUACUGAUACUUACAAUACUUUACUGUUAUCGUAUACUGUACUAACGGGCUGAAUGCUCGGCCUGUGGUGUUGCUGCUUGCAGCUUUCUGGAGAAUCGCUCAUACAAACAACUUUAUACACUCAACACUGCACUUCCUUAGGUCCUGAGCAAUACACCUGCCAUGAUAUAGUUGCGUCACACAACCAAGUUGCGGCUACUCACCCUCGGAAACAUCGUUGAAAUACACAUUGGUUCACGAGGAAAAACACACUCAGGUUGCAGCUAAUCGCGGUCAGAAACAUCGGUGAAAUACACAUAGAAAUGUUGGUGAAAUACACUUAGAAACAUCGGUUGAAUACACUUAGAAACAUUGGUGGAAUACGCUUAGAAACAUCGGUUAAAUACACUUAGAAACACCAGUGAAAUACAUUUAGAAACAUCGGUUAAAUACACUUAGAAACAUCGGUGGAAUACGCUUAGAAACACCGGUGAAAUACACUUAGAAACAUCGGUGGAAUACGCUUAGAAACGCCGGUGAAAUACACUUAGAAACGCUGGUGAAAUACACUCUGGUUCAAGGGAAAAAAACAACACACCCAGGUUGUGGUUACUCACGGGAGAAAUACGGGAGAAUUGUGACCCCGAGCAGAAAUCGAGAGACGGCGAUGAAAAACGUGAGUCUCCCGGGAAAAACGUGAGGGUUGGCGAGUAUGAAAAUACGUCCUCGUGACACGCAGAAUGUCGGUGUAAUGUCGUGGUAUUUAUACGCCUUCCUGUGAGAUCGGGUUGGAUCUCUCUACAUUACUCUGAGACCUCAGUAAUGUUUAGUUUUACAGUUUGUUGUCAUUUUUUAGAUGUGUCAGGUGACAGGAAGCGGCUGUUUUCAGUUUUUCCAACCAAUAAUCUGCAAGUCGACAAUUACAUCACUAGGAAAUUGGAUAUUAAAUUGGACCCAAUCACACCUGCAGCAUAGAGAGACUUUGAGAUGGAAAAAGGAAUCAAGAGAUUAGUUUGAUUUCCUUCUAGACUUCCAGAUCUCUGAGCUCCUCCAGCACGGCGCUAACCUGAGAAAAUAAACAUUUGUGCUUCAGUGGAACUACGAUGGAGCGUCUGGUC